rnacentral:rRNA from 1 species
GGUGAACGCUGGCGGCGUGCCUAAUACAUGCAAGUCGAGCGAACAGACGAGGAGCUUGCUCCUCUGACGUUAGCGGCGGACGGGUGAGUAACACGUGGAUAACCUACCUAUAAGACUGGGAUAACUUCGGGAAACCGGAGCUAAUACCGGAUAAUAUAUUGAACCGCAUGGUUCAAUAGUGAAAGACGGUUUUGCUGUCACUUAUAGAUGGAUCCGCGCCGCAUUAGCUAGUUGGUAAGGUAACGGCUUACCAAGGCGACGAUGCGUAGCCGACCUGAGAGGGUGAUCGGCCACACUGGAACUGAGACACGGUCCAGACUCCUACGGGAGGCAGCAGUAGGGAAUCUUCCGCAAUGGGCGAAAGCCUGACGGAGCAACGCCGCGUGAGUGAUGAAGGUCUUCGGAUCGUAAAACUCUGUUAUUAGGGAAGAACAAAUGUGUAAGUAACUAUGCACGUCUUGACGGUACCUAAGCAGAAAGCCACGGCUAACUACGU